CUGGGACAUCUGAGUUUUGCUCGGAGUCUAGUGUUUUUAUCCUCUGACGUUUCUCACUGUGCUUGUGCCGAAGUAGCAAAUACGUUAGUUCGCUGGAAAACUGUAUAUCUCAGCAAUUCCUUAUACUAUCCUAAAAUUACUUCUAGACAUAUUGUGCGUUUUUGAGCGGCACAGGAGACCAAGUGGUCUGAAAAAGGACCACUGGGUGGCGGAAUGGUUCGCUAGCCGGAAAAAUAGACAGGCAAACCCAGAAGCAAGACGGAGCGUCCCGGUGGUCUGUCCUCUGAAGUAAGUAGGAGCUAAACCUGCAGGCUUUGCUCUCCGAUUAUAAUGAGACAUGGAGUAAAUAAAUGAUAUCAGAUUACGUUUUAUAUGUGUGGUAUUUUGAUACUCUGUCCUCCUCAUAUGUUUCUGUUAGCGGGAGCUAAAGUUUAUGUCAGCUAUGUUUACGUUAGCUGUUGGGAGCUAAGCGUGGAUUUUUACUGUCACACAGUUUGAUAGUCUGUCUUCAGUCUUAACUUUAACCCAGGUUGAUCUGGUUUUAUGAUGCCGAAGUCGGCAAGCAUCUUCAGGAGAUUAUGGCAGUUAUAGAUGUUGGUCACUAUCACUGAAACCGUAUUUUGUUGCUUCAGCAGUAAUGAAGGUAGAUCUGGACCUGCAGGAACAUCAUCUGCUGCUAGACUUUACUCACCAUAACAAAGUGAAAGACAAUCUGCAGCAGCUGAGAUUCUGGGAGGUUCAACACCAAAACUUGAUGCUUCAAACUGAGCCGUUAACUGGACCGAGGCGCCUUUCAAACUACAGUAGUUAACCUGCUCUGUUGGUAGAUGUUAUGGUGUCUCCUCAAUCUGUACAGACUGACCUUGGUCGUCUUUGAAUACACAGCUUUAUGGUGUUUUCUUUUAAUUGAUUAUAGUCAAUAUUUGAACAUUCAUUAAGUUUGAAGACAUUUCAUUGUUAACUUUAGGUAGCUGUGAAUCCACCCAUGUUAAUCUGAACCUAUUAUGUUAAAGAUUCAACAGAUUUGUUGCAUUCUUAAAUAUUUAAUCUGUGCUUUGUGUGCAGUGAAAUGAACAUUAAAGUUAAUUCAGGAAACACUUUUGUCAUCUUCUUUCUACAGUACAAAUUGAAUGAUGCCUCUAUUAAAAUCAUAUAUUUGUGACAUCAAACUUUGUUUCUGUCAUAAAGCAGUGGUCAAACUAUGGCUAAAUGUUUGUAAUUUACUUUCAACAAAUGGAAACCAAAAUGGUUUUAAAGUAAA